rfam:Dipodomys ordii contig_9228, whole genome shotgun sequence.
GGGAAUGUGGCUUGAUGGUAGAGCGCUUGCCUAGCACGCAUGAAGCCCUGGGUUCGAUUCCUCAGCACCA